AACGAACGCUGGCGGCAGGCUUAACACAUGCAAGUCGAGCGCCCCGCAAGGGGAGCGGCAGACGGGUGAGUAACGCGUGGGAAUCUACCCAUCUCUACGGAAUAACGCAUGGAAACGUGUGCUAAUACCGUAUACGUCCUUCGGGAGAAAGAUUUAUCGGAGAUGGAUGAGCCCGCGUUGGAUAGCUAGUUGGUGAGGUAAAGGCCUACCAAGGCGACGAUCCAUAGCUGGUCUGAGAGGAUGAUCAGCCACACUGGGACUGAGACACGGCCCAGACUCCUACGGGAGGCAGCAGUGGGGAAUAUUGGACAAUGGGCGCAAGCCUGAUCCAGCCAUGCCGCGUGAGUGAUGAAGGCCCUAGGGUUGUAAAGCUCUUUCACCGGUGAAGAUAAUGACGGUAACCGGAGAAGAAGCCCCGGCUAAUUUCGUGCCAGCCGCCGCCGUAAGAC
rnacentral:rRNA from 1 species